rnacentral:rRNA from 1 species
UUAGAAGUGCGAGUCGGACCACAAGUAAGAGCUUGCUCUUCGGCGGUUAGCGGCGGACGGGUGAGUAACACGUAGGCAACCUGCCUGUACGACUGGGAUAACUCCGGGAAACCGGAGCUAAUACCGGAUACGUUUUUCAAAAAGAAGUCUAAAAAAAAAACUUUGGGACUACAAAGGGGCCUGGGGCAUUAAAUAGUUGGGGGGGAAGGCCCCAAGGCGACGAGGGUAGCGCCUGAGGGGGAUCGGCCAAUGGGAAGGAAAAGGCCCAGACUCCUACGGGAGGAACAGUAGGAAUCUUCCGCAAGGGAGAAAGUCUGAGGAGCAAAGCCCGGGAAAGAUGAAGUUUUCGGAUCGUAAAGUUCUGUGUUAGGGAAGAAACGCCGGGAUGACCUCCCGGUUGACGGUACCUAAAGAGAAAGCCCCGGCUAACUACGUGACAGCAGCCGCGGUAAUAAGUAGGGGGCAAGCGUUGUCCGGAAUUAUUGGGCGUAAAGCGCGCGCAGGCGGCUUAUUAAGUCAGGUGUGAAAGCCCACGGCUCAACCGUGGAGGGCCACUUGAAACUGGGAGGCUUGAGUGCAGGAGAGGAGAGCGGAAUUCCACGUGUAGCGGUGAAAUGCGUAGAGAUGUGGAGGAACACCCGUGGCGAAGGCGGCUCUCUGGCCUGUAACUGACGCUGAGGCGCGAAAGCGUGGGGAGCGAACAGGAUUAGAUACCCUGGUAGUCCACGCCGUAAACGUUGAGUGCUAGGUGUUGGGGACUCCAAUCCUCAGUGCCGCAGCUAACGCAAUAAGCACUCCGCCUGGGGAGUACGGCCGCAAGGCUGAAACUCAAAGGAAUUGACGGGGACCCGCACAAGCGGUGGAGCAUGUGGUUUAAUUCGAAGCAACGCGAAGAACCUUACCAGGGCUUGACAUCCCGCUGACCCUCCUAGAGAUAGGAACUCUCUUCGGAGCAGCGGUGACAGGUGGUGCAUGGUUGUCGUCACCUCCUGUCGUGAGAAGUUGGGUUAAGUCCGCAACGAGGAAACCUUGUCCUUAGUUGCAGCAUUAGUUGGGCACCUAGGGAAACGCCGUCCACAAACGAAGAAGGGGGGGAUGACGUCAAUCACCUCCCCCUUAUGUCUGGGCUACACACGUGCCAAUGGAGGGAAAACGGCCACCCAACCGCAAAUGGCCAAUCCCUUAAAACCAUUCUCAGUUCAAUUGCAGGCGGCACGCGCCGCAGAAGCCGAACCCAGUAAUCCGAAAAAAAGGCCGCGG